rnacentral:rRNA from 1 species
GAUGAACGCUGGCGGCGUGCCUAAUACAUGCAAGUCGAGCGGUAAGGUUCUCACAGUUUGCUGGCAUCUUUUUAAUAAGAUCGAGCAAAGUGUGAGAAUACACGAGCGGCGGACGGCUGAGUAACGCGUAGGAACGUACCCCAAAGUGAGGGAUAAGCACCGGAAACGGUGUCUAAUACCGCAUAUGAUCUUCGGAUUAAAGACAUUUUGUCGCUUUGGGAGCGGCCNGCGUAUGAUUAGUUAGUUGGUGAGGUAAUGGCUCACCAAGACGACGAUCAUUAGCUGGUCUGAGAGGAUGAUCAGCCAGACUGGGACUGAGACACGGCCCAGACUCCUACGGGAGGCAGCAGUGGGAAUUUUGGACAAGUGGGGCAACCCUGAUCCAGCAAUGCCGCGUGAGUGAAGAA